rnacentral:rRNA from 1 species
ACAGCAGUAGCCGCGGGAAUACGUAGGUGGCAAGCGUUGUCCGGAAUUAUUGGGCGUAAAGGGCUCGCAGGCGGUUUCUUAAGUCUGAUGUGAAAGCCCCCGGCUCAACCGGGGAGGGUCAUUGGAAACUGGGAAACUUGAGUGCAGAAGAGGAGAGUGGAAUUCCACGUGGAGCGGUGAAAUGCGUUGAGAUCGGAAAGAACACCAACGGCGAAAGCACUCUGCUGGGCCGACACUGACACUGAGAGACGAAAGCUAGGGGAGCAAAUGGGAUUAGAUACCCCUGUAGUCCCUGUCUCUUAUAC